rnacentral:rRNA from 1 species
AUGUUAUCCCCUCGCGUCGUCCGGCCCCAGCCCCACGACGGCGCGGCCUCCGCCGGCUCCUCCUCGUCGCGGCGCCACAUGGUGGACCGCGUGUCCGAGUGGGAGCUCGGCCUCCCCUCGGCCGCCGAGCUGACGCCCGUCUCGCAGCCGCUCAUCCCGCCGGCCCUCGCCGCGGCCUUCGGGAUCGGCCCCGCGGACGCGCUCUCCUCCCCCGUGGACGCCGGCUUCCUCCACGACUCGCCCACCUCCCACCUGACCCUCAGGUUCGACGAGUACGACGAGGAGGACGAGGAGGAGGGGGAGGGCGAGACCGACGACGCCGCCGCCCCCGGGGGCCGGAGGGGCGGCGGCGGCGGCGGGAAGAAGGCGAGGAUGGUGUGGACGCCGGAGCUGCACCACCGGUUCGUCGAGGCCGUCGAGCACCUCGGCGAGAAGGGCGCCGUGCCCAAGGCCAUCGUGCGCCUCAUGAACGUCGACGGCCUCACGCGGGAGAACGUCGCCAGCCACCUCCAGAAGUACCGCCUCUACCUCAAGCGCUCCAGCCCCGGCGCCGCCGCGCCCGCGCCGCCGCCACCGCCCUUCUUUCCCCGCUUCGACGUCCAGCGACCGCAUCAAGACUCCGCCAACCGGAGCGGUUACUGCGCGUAUCCGUAUGUUUCCUACCAGAAGCUCGGAUGCGAUUGA